rnacentral:rRNA from 1 species
CCAGAGAACUUAGCAGAGAUGCUUUGGUGCCUUCGGGGAACUCUGAGACAGGUGCUGCAUGGCUGUCGUCAGCUCGUGUUGUGAAAUGUUGGGUUAAGUCCCGCAACGAGCGCAACCCUUAUCCUUUGUUGCCAGCGGCUCGGCCGGGAACUCAAAGGAGACUGCCGGUGAUAAACCGGAGGAAGGUGGGGAUGACGUCAAGUCAUCAUGGCCCUUACGGCCAGGGCUACACACGUGCUACAAUGGCGCAUACAAAGAGAAGCGACCUCGCGAGAGCAAGCGGACCUCAUAAAGUGCGUCGUAGUCCGGAUUGGAGUCUGCAACUCGACUCCAUGAAGUCGGAAUCGCUAGUAAUCGUAGAUCAGAAUGCUACGGUGAAUACGUUCCCGGGCCUUGUACACACCGCCCGUCACACCAUGGGAGUGGGUUGCAAAAGAAGUAGGUAGCUUAACCUUCGGGAGGGCGCUUACCACUUUGUGAUUCAUGACUGGGGUGAAGUCGUAACAAGGUAGGCGUAGCGAG